UAGGGAAUUUUCCACAAUGGGCGAAAGCCUGAUGGAGCAACGCCGCGUGCAGGAUGAAUGCCUUAGGGUUGUAAACUGCUUUUAUAUGUGACGAUUAUGACGGUAGCAUAUGAAUAAGGAUCGGCUAACUCCGUGCCAGCAGCCGCGGUCAUACGGAGGAUCCAAGCGUUAUCCGGAAUUACUGGGCGUAAAGAGUUGCGUAGGUGGCAUAGUAAGUUAGUAGUGAAAUUGUGUGGCUCAACCAUACACCCAUUACUGAAACUGCUAAGCUAGAGGGCGAGAGAGGUAACUAGAAUUCCUAGUGUAGGAGUGAAAUCCGUAGAUAUUAGGAGGAAUACCGAUGGCGUAGGCAGGUUACUGGCUCGUCCCUGACACUAAGGCACGAAAGCGUGGGGAGCGACCGGGAUUAGAUACCCGUGUAGUCC
rnacentral:rRNA from 1 species